rnacentral:ncRNA from 1 species
AAUCACAAGGGGAGCUUUGGCUGAGAGUUACAUGGGAUUAUCCCUAGUAUGACCCUCCGAACCUGAUGCGGGUAAUUCCGUCGCAGGGAUGUGUUUUUU